UUCGCUUAACUAAUUAAUCCAGCCUUAGAAAUAUGAUUCGAUAUUCUGAGAAAGCGGUUCAUCGUAUCAUCAAAACCUCCAUUCGAUCAGAGAGAAAAGCAGAAAAAUAAAGAAUUUGAAGAUGAAGAAGUGGAAGAAGGAAGAUGAGGAGGAAUGACAGUAAUUGACCACUUUUGGUCAAUUCCCUCCAAGAGAAUGUCAGUUUGACAAAUCAGUCAAUGUAAUGAUGGACAAUGCUAAAAAUAGCAGUCGGCCACAACAA